GAACUCCUGGAGCGUGCCGUCGGCCGCGUCCUGACCGAGGACGAGUCGAACUGGGCGGGCGACCUCUGGUUCGAGUCCGAGGGCCUUCCCC
rnacentral:tRNA from 1 species